GACAGGCCUCGUCCUACCUGUCUUCACCUGUAUAAUGACAUCAUCCUAUAGCUGAUCAAUUAAACAUUACAGGUAGUGAGUGAUUUCUCAGGAAGAGUGGGAAAUACUCGGGGGCAGAAUUGAGCCUGCGGUAUCAGUGUGAAGAAGGUAGAAGGCUCUCACAGUUUUCUAGUCAAACUCGUCAGCUUUGUUAUACCGAGUGAGCACACACCACGAAAGUGCAAAUAAUAUGCAUUUCCCAUCUCUGUCCACCAAGACGCCCCUGAAACAUCCCAGUAACAUCCCUGUCCGGAUGCCAAUUUCUAAAUAUUAUCCUCCCGUAAAGAGAACUCAUUAGAAUUUAUAUAUGGCUGCCUCCCCCAGUUGGGAGGCAGAGGCAGGUGGAUCUCUGUGAGUUUGAGGGCAGCCUGGUGGUCUACAGAGUUCCAGGACAGCCAGGGAUACCCAGAGAAACCCUGUCUGGAAAAACAAAACAAAGCAAAAAACUGGAUUCCUGGAUUGGGCAGAGAAAUUUUCAAAAUACACUGGAAUAUCUUACUCCUUUUUUUGCACAGAGGAGUGGGUAUAUUUGUAUUUCCUUGAGUCCCACUGGUUCCUAGAGAUCAGGUGCUCCAGCUGUGUAGGGCUCCACCGUGAGGAAUCUGAUGUGAAGGACAAAUUAGGAAGUGUUUGAGGGAUGAUGGGAGGAGGAGGGGCAUGCCCAAGGACGGAGGAGUGAUCUCUGCUUCUUCUGGCCAACAUGGGCAAGUUAAGAAACUAAUGCUGGGAAUGGAUUGUAAACUCUGGAAAGGAAAAGCUAUGAACUUAUAAUAAUGCAAACAAAUGAAUUAGUAAAUAGGCAGAGAGAAGCGACUCCUGCCUGUACCCUCACACCGUUCCAGGGAUUGACCUAUCCGCACAGUGAGUAAAUGAGAAAUAGGAAGUUAUGGACACUCAAAAGCUGGGAUCCGGUACACUGGGCUCCCCCAUAGGGAAGCCACAGUACCCCAGAAGGACAGCGUGUUUGUUUUCAAUUAAACAUGGAAGUGGGGUUAUUAAAUGCAACAUGCGCAUGCAAACACACACAGAGAGAGAGAGAGAGAGAGAGAGAGAGAGAGAGAGAGAGAGAGAGAGAGAGAGAGAGAGAGAGGUUUAGCUAAUCUCAGUAGGCACAGUAUACAGGGGAGUCUUCAGGCAAUAAAUAAUCAGGAUGAGAAAGCUACGGUGAACAUUUUCUGCACAUGUUAUCAACAUCCACACUUGGAUCAUUUGCCCUCUGGGCUGAGGCGUGGGAUUCCUUAACACAGUCAUGCCAUGACAACAACAUAGAUCCAUUCAAGACAUCAUUCAUUCAGGGCUCCCCACUCCCCACUCUGUGCAGUAGAACUGCAGUGUAAACGAAAACAGGCCAAUACAAAAGGAAGUACUUGUUCCUGUAGAGGGAGGUGGUGUCGAUUCCCUAAUUGGUUCUCGAUUGUGUCAAUAAAGGAGGCAGAAGCCAAUUGCUGGGCGAAGGGGGAAGGGUGGGACUUCAGGAUGGAAGGGAAGGGACACAGGGAAAGAGGAUUUCGGACCAGGCUUUGGAUCCCGGAGGAAGCUGCAGUCAUGUAGGUCAUAGGGCCCCUAGAGUUUGUAGCCUCCUUGUUGAGCAGGGGCCGAGGAGGACGGAGGGAGGCAUCUAGUUGAUAAGAUUAGGGCGGGAAAUUCUUCGCCCAGCCAUUGAGCUAUCUGGCUAGUUUUAAAAUAAUAAAAGUAGUCUCCCAUCCGUGGGACUGAGGUGGGCAGGAGGAGAAAGAGUGUUGGCAGCUUGGCGAAGCUAUCUCUGAGGGGUUGCAGGGAGUAGUUGCAAUUCCAGGGAGGAAAAAUGGCCUCUGGCUGUUGGCGGAGCUGAGUGAAAAUCUCUGAGCCUAUCCUGGAGCGCAGGCAGAGCUCCCAAGAAGGGGGAAGUGUGGGGGAAGUGUGCGAGUGUGUGUGUGUGUGUGUGUGUGUGUGUGUGUGUGUGUGUGUGUGUGUGUGUGUGUGUUUAAAUUACAUGCAACAAAUUCAAGUAUUGUACAAUCAAAGUACUUCCCUAGUGGAGUUUAUGAACUUUAAAUUGUUAGCAUGAUUCUGUUCUAAGAGUGUAAUGAGUUUUCCCAUCUUUUUUGUUAAAAUCCAGUAUUGUCGUUUUCUAUUGCUGUUCUUAUAAAUCACCAGAAGUGGGACUUAAUACCUACAAAUGUAUCAUUACACAGGACUACAGAUUCCAACUGUCAUUAAACUAAAACCAAGGUGUUUGUGUUUCUUUCUGAGGUUCUCGGGACUGGUUUAUUUUCCUGCCUUUCUGUAUUAAAGGCAGCUUGCAUCUCUUGGUUUGUAUACUCUCCUCCAUGUUCAAACACUGAUGGACAGUUAAAUUAUUCUCAUACCACAUUUCUCUAAUACUGUUUCUUCUUUCUCGCUUUCACUCCUGAGGACCCUCAUCGAUUCAGACAGCCACCUUACAGCCCUCCUGAGAGAACCCUGCUGCAGAGAACCCUGGAGCACAGUGACGGACCAGAAAGCCAGCCGUGCAACGUGCGCUGCCUUCUCGCAGAUGGAUGCAAACUGAGGGCUGUCCCGGCAUGAGCCAGGAACUUUCAGAGGAAUACUCUGAUCUUUCCUAGGGAAAUGUGUAACGACAGAAGACUGUGGCCUUGUAUCCCAGGACCAACCAAUGCAGGAGGAUUGGUCAGGUAGAAUCCAUUUUGGAGCUUAACAGCAAAAAGCAUUAUGCUAUGUAAUAUCCCUUUGCCCCAGCUUCCCUCUCCCUGGCUUGCAUCUGCCCUCCUAUCUCUUGUCUCUUCACAGCAUCUUCACCUUACAUGUAUUUCUACAUCCAGUUUUCCCGCUCUUCCUGGUACCAAUCACAGUGGCUUAGGGACAACCAUCUUAAUGACAACCUUUUCAUUUAAUUGCCAUCGAAGUCCUGCCUCCAGGCCCAGUCACCCUCAGGAACCAAUGGACUGCUUAACAAACCAUGAAACAACUAACCAACGACCUAGCCCACCUCGUGGGCUCUAGCAUUUACGUACCCUCUGAGAAGUCCUCGGAAUUCCAAAUGUCACACAUUUGCAGAAACGAUCUGCAGCCAGAGAAAUCACCAUGCCCGAGGAACCAAAAUUCCAAAAUUGUCAUUACACUGUACCAGAAGAACUUGAGGCAAUUUAGACUUUACCAAAAAAACCUAGCAUCCCAUGACUCAGAAAACAAUUUAGUGUGUGGCUGGACAGUGAAUGCUCCUGACAUCUUAGCAAUUGGUCCCAAGACCCCAAGGGUGCCAAAAUAGUCUGAUGAUGCUCCAACUCCCCAAGAAAACUGGUACAACACUUGCUCACAGCCUCACUCAGCACCCGUGCACAGUAGGUCAUCUCUAAGGGACCCAUAACUCUAGACACAAUGCCAAUGCUUUGUAAGUAGUUGUGCUGGACUGUUUAGGGAUGAGGAGAAGAGAAUAUCUACAUAUGCUCAGUAUAGAUGCACAUUUUAAAAAUACUUUGAUCUACAGUUCUUUGACUAAGGAUGAAGAACUCAAAGAGAAGAGGUCACGCUCUCUUUCUUGGUUCUUACUAACAUUCUGCACACAUACAUUUAUCAAAAUGGCUUUGAGGCUGAAUGCCUCCACUUUUGCAUACCUCUUGCAUUGUAGACCUUCCGUUGUUACGGUGAUGGCUAAUCUUGGUUAUCAACUUGACUACAUCUAGAAUCAACUAAAACCCAAGCAACUCCACACACCUGUGAGGGAUUUUUUUUUUUUUCAAUUGGAUCAUUUGAGGUGGAAAAUCUGGUUCAAAUCUGGUAGCAGCCCACAAAAAAGGACAUGGAAGGAGGAAACUUUUGAUUUUUGCCUGCUUGCCUUCACUCUUACUAGCAAGUACAUCUGCCUUGUUGCUUCUUCGGGAUUCCAAUACAGACUGAAGACUAGCAGCUCUCUAGGACUCCAGCACCAAAGUGGGACUUUGGAGACAUCCAAUCUCUUGGACUUUCUGUUUAGAAGUGCCCACCAUCAGACCCCAACCUGUAACCACUCUAAUAAAUUUGAUAAAUUUUGUCCCCCAAGA
rnacentral:sRNA from 1 species